rnacentral:tRNA from 1 species
UAAUGGAGUAGGUUGAAAAUAACCCAGGUUUAUAAAAAAAACCUUUGAAUUAUAAUUCCAUUAG